UACAGAGGGUGCAAGCGUUGUUCGGAAUUAUUGGGCGUAAAGGGUGCGUAGGCGGUGCGGUAAGUCUCUUGUGAAAUCUCCGGGCUCAACCCGGAGCCUGCAAGGGAAACUGCCGUGCUUGAGUGUGGGAGAGGUGAGUGGAAUUCCCGGUGUAGCGGUGAAAUGCGCAGAUAUCAGGAAGAACACCCGUGGCGAAAGCGGCUCUCUGGAACGGUACUGACGCUGAGACGCGAAAGCGUGGGGAGCGAACAGG
rnacentral:rRNA from 1 species